rnacentral:rRNA from 1 species
GGGCCAGACUCCUACGGGAGGCAGCAGUGGGGAAUAUUGCACAAUGGGGGAAACCCUGAUGCAGCGACGCCGCGUGAGCGAUGAAGUAUUUCGGUAUGUAAAGCUCUAUCAGCAGGGAAGAAAAUGACGGUACCUGACUAAGAAGCCCCGGCUAACUACGUGCCAGCAGCCGCGGUAAUACGUAGGGGGCAAGCGUUAUCCGGAUUUACUGGGUGUAAAGGGAGCGUAGACGGCGGUGCAAGCCAGAUGUGAAAGCCCGGGGCUCAACCCCGGACCUGCAUUUGAAACUGUUGGUCUUGAGUAUCGGAGAGGCAGGCGGAAUUCCUAGUGUAGCGGUGAAAUGCGUAGAUAUUAGGAGGAACACCAGUGGCGAAGGCGGCCUGCUGGACGACAACUGACGGUGAGGCGCGAAAGCGUGGGGAGCAAACAGGAUUAGAUACCCGAGUAGG